ensembl:snoRNA Snora47 small nucleolar RNA, H/ACA box 47
UGGAGGACAGAGAAGGUGGAGCAGUUCAUACCGUGCUGCCUUCCAUUGGUUAAGACCUCCAACAGUAAAGGGCUAGCCAGGCAAAGAACAUCCUCUCCAGCGCCCUGGAGGGGGCAGUACUGUGCUGGCCCACAUUGU